GUUGCUUCGGUAGUGUCAACAUAUUCUUCUCCAACUCUCUCCCAUUCAGAACACUGAAUCAUCGACCCUAGAGCCAACCGCAGUACCCGCUGAGCUAGCCCAGACCCCGGACAAGCCCUUCGUCCCAUCCCAAACGGUCUCGGUGAAUGGCCCAUACAUUUGCCAUUACCGUCGUGCCACGCUGGAAGUUGUAGCCUCCAACUAUGCAAUCAUCUGUCGCCUUACGUGGAGGUAACGGAGCUGCCGGGUAAAGUCGAAAAAUCUCUGAUACGAUACAUUGGAGGUAAGGAAGAUUCAAAGCAUCUGGUUCAUCCAUUAACCGGUCUAAACCAAUUUUGGUAUCGAUUUCAAUCUUUGCUUUCUUUAAUACUUCUGGAUGGUUCAACAAGUUCAACAUCGCCCAUUCCAAGGUUCUUGGUACCUAUACAAACAAAAGUCAAGCUUUAUUAAUUAUAUAGAUCUUGACUAGUGUUGUGUUAAUGAUGUAUUAAACAGAUUCCUGAAUACUUACAACUAUUAGUCCUUUGACGGUGACAUCCGUAUAAUUAUCAGGUUGAGUUUUUUGGAGAGAAAGCAAGUGAUCAAUCAUAGUGUUACCCUUUUCUUUUUGUGAACGUUUCUCCUCUACAAGUCCUUGAAGAAACUCGUCCACCCGAACCGCCAACUUCUUGACCCUUCUCUCAUAACUAGUAACCCAACGGAGGAGAGGAAGAUAGUCAGAGGCGUGUCCUACACCAGCACUUGAUACUGCUUCGUCAACCAACUGCCUCACGCGUUUUGAAUCGUCGUCUUGCUCUGCUCCGUCUCCAUAGAAUCGUUUUCCGGCUAUCAUCCUGAGGAUAUUAUUGAUUUGGAAGUUCCCAAACAGUGACCUCAACUCCACCUUUGCAAACUUCUGAAUUAUUAUCACAGAAACAAAGGUAGGAAUAAAAAAAAUGUUAAGAUUACCACAUGGAUAAGUAUAAGAUGGUACUGGAGCCAUGGAAAAAGGUGAGCGCCUUUAAAAACCAAGUAGAACUAUCCUACACAUUAACAACUGCUUCUAUUUGGAAAUCUAUGGAACUUGAAACAGUAUUGGAACUCAGUUUGGCAUGUGCAUCAGAGUCGGUCAGAGAUUUCAGGAGUUACAGUUUUUUUUUUGGUCAAAAAUAUUUUUCAACAGUUUAUGGAGGCUAUCUUCAUAUAUAUUAAACCAAUUAAGUUGGAUGUUGCUCCAAUGAUAUUUUAUUUUACAGUAAAAAAUAAAGUGAUGAACAAACAAAAAACAAAUUACAUCUAUAUAUAUAUAGUAAACCUAUUUUUUACUCUAUUAUAGAGUGAAAAAUAGAAUACCAUUGAAGCAUUUUUACUCUAAACUUUAUUUUAAAGUGAAAAAUAGAGUGGGAUUGGAGAUUUCUUAAGGAUAAUUGUUAAUUCAAGAGUACAAUGCACAAGAUUUUGAUUGGAUGUUCAAAUUAAUGAAAAUACACAAGCGAGUAAAAAUCCUCUAUAUAUAAAACAAUAAUCUCUAAAUACACAAACAUUUUUAAUCAAAACUGGAAAAGAUCUUAC